UACAGAGGGGGCAAGCGUUAUUCGGAAUUAUUGGGCGUAAAGGGCGCGUAGGCGGCAUUGCAAGUAGAAGGUGAAAUCCCUCGGCUUAACCGAGGAACUGCCCUCCAAACUGCUUGGCUUGAGUCCGGGAGAGGUGAGUGGAAUUCCCAGUGUAGCGGUGAAAUGCGUAGAUAUUGGGAGGAACACCAGUGGCGAAGGCGGCUCACUGGACCGGAACUGACGCUGAGGUGCGAAAGCGUGGGGAGCAAACAGG
rnacentral:rRNA from 1 species